rnacentral:snoRNA from 1 species
UAUCGCUAUGACGAUUAAAAAUAUAAAAAGUAGUGGACUGAAAAAUAUAUUGAUGAGUAAAUUAAUUCUGAGCGAUG